rnacentral:rRNA from 1 species
CACGUAGGGCGCGAGCGUUUGUCCGGAAUUAUUGGGCGUAAAGAGCUCGUAGGCGGCCUGUUGCGUCCGCUGUGAAAGCCCGGGGCUUAACCCCGGGUCUGCAGUGGAUACGGGCAGGCUAGAGGUAGGUAGGGGAGAAUGGAAUUCCCGGUGUAGCGGUGAAAUGCGCAGAUAUCGGGAGGAACACCGGUGGCGAAGGCCGGUUCUCUGGGCCUUACCUGACGCUGAGGAGCGAAAGCGUGGGGAGCGAACAGG